CGCGCAGGCGGUCUUGUCCGUCAGGUGUGAAAGCUCGGGGCUCAACCCCGGAAGUGCACUUGAAACAGCAAGACUUGAAUACGGUAGAGGAGGGAGGAAUUCCUGGUGUAGAGGUGAAAUUCGUAGAUAUCAGGAGGAACACCGAUGGCGAAGGCAUCUCUCUGGGCCGAUAUUGACGCUGAGGCGCGAAGGCGUGGGUAGCGAACG
rnacentral:rRNA from 1 species